GCAUCUAUGGCCGAGGGGUCGAAGGCACGGGACUCAUAAUCUCGCUCUGAAAGGACAUCGCUGGUUCGAAUCCAGCUGGAUGCA
rnacentral:tRNA from 1 species